rnacentral:rRNA from 1 species
CCUACGGGAGGCUGCAGUAGGGAAUAUUGCUCAAUGGGGGAAACCCUGAAGCAGCAACGCCGCGUGGAGGAUGAAGGUUCUAGGAUUGUAAACUCCUUUUGUUAGAGAAGAUAAUGACGGUAUCUAACGAAUAAGCACCGGCUAACUCCGUGCCAGCAGCCGCGGUAAUACGGAGGGUGCAAGCGUUACUCGGAAUCACUGGGCGUAAAGAGCGCGUAGGCGGGUUAGCAAGUCAGUUGUGAAAUGUUAUGGCUUAACCAUAGAAUUGCAUUUGAAACUGUUAUUCUAGAGUAUGGGAGAGGUAGGUGGAAUUCGUGGUGUAGGGGUAAAAUCCGUAGAGAUCAAGAAGAAUACUCAUUGCGAAGGCGACCUGCUAGAACAUAACUGACACUGAUGCGCGAAAGCGUGGGUAGCAAACAGGAUUAGAUACCCGAGUAGUC